CCCUCCACACUCCAGUUUGAAGUCCCCAUUGUCACUUCAAGUGACUUUGCCAAUCAGAGGAGGAGGAGGAAGAGGAGGAGGAGGAGGAGGAGGAGGAGACCCUCCCAUUCAUGGCUUCAGAAAUGCCUGGAGACAGAAUAAGGAAAAAAUGUAGAAGCAUUAACUUUUUCAAAGUAUUUGUGGUUUUGAACCUGUCAAACCUGUGACACUUGUACAAGGUCACAGGACUGCUCAGAUCAGUGGGUUUCAGGAUGCUCACCCAAGACCAGAUUCUCAUCCUCUGACCACCCCAGGCACUCCCUUUCCUGCAGAGGCUGAUGAGAAGGACAUGUGGAAAGGACUGAAGUUGCCCUGGCCUCCCCAGGACCAGUUUGGGAGCCACAAAGACAGCACUGAUGAGUGACUGCCUGACACUCCAGUGUCACAAGAUGUGACAAGCAGAGCCACAGGUCUGGCCCUUGGGUAGCAUGUGCAGGCAUGCAGGUGGUGCUGCCAACAGACUAUAAGACUAAGGAGAUGAGGGUUGGCAGGAGCUGGGAAGGAACUCCAGGAAGUGGGGGUGCGUCUACCAGAAGCCCCUCCCCUGCACGUGGCUAUUGAUAUUGAUGGUAUCAGGUUCCUCUCCCAAACCACAAAUGGCCAUCGUCCCCCACCACUCCCAUCAUCUGGCUUCCCAGCCUGCCCCCAAAGUUCAGCUACCUCCACAUUCUCCUUGCCCCAUGCUAGCCAGGAGACCCAGGAGAAAUAAACCAAAAAAAGAGAUUGAAAAUUUAAUCAAAAGUAGCAAUAACAAACCAUGUGUGGAUAUCAGCCAGCAACUGAGUUGCAUGAACACCACCAAGAUCACUGCAGGCUGAGGCCCCUGAGAUCCUAGGAGUGCAAGAGAGGGCAGAGGCAGAGAGGGGAGAGGCCAAGGAGAAGGGGGCUGGCUUCCCCCAAUCGCCAGAGGGGAGGACAGGGUGUGACAGCAAGGCCCCAAACAUUCUCCUAAGGAACCCAGACGCUGUUCACUGUUCGGUCUAGACUGGAGUCUGGCAUUUCUUCUGAUUUCCUCAGUCUGGGACCUCAGAAGAGGCACAGGAGAAGAGAGAGUGAACAUCAGGAAGGGUUGAGGAUUCUGGAAUUCUCCUUGGUCUCUUCCUCUCAGAAAAAGUUGCUAAGAGAACACAACCCAGGCAGUCUCUUUUUAUUAUUUUUUCCUGGGGAGGGGUGAGGGUGCAGGUCUCAUAGAGCAGGAGGAGGCAGGAGGGCUUGAAGGAAAUGGUUCCAUCCUUCCACCCUAAGGGUCCUUGAUUGAACUCCGGUGGUCGGGCUUGGUGGCAAAUUCCCUUACCCAACAAGUCACCUCUGUGACACAGACACUCACUGUCUCUGCUUCCUGCUCACCAUGGUGUCGGCAGCUCUGCUCCACCAGGCACCUUCCCACCAGGAUGGAGUGAAACCUUUAGAACUACGGGCAAAAUAACCCCCCCAAAAAAAAGUAGAGGAAAGGGAGAAGGAGGAAGAGGGGAGGAAGAGAGAAAGGAGGAGAGGAAGAAAAGGGGGUGUGAGGGAGGGGGAGGAGGAAGGAAGGAAGGAAGGAAGGAAGGAAGGAAGGAAGGAAGGAAGGAAGGAAGAAGGAAGUUGCAGCCCCCUGGGUUGAGUACAGUUUGAUGGUAACUGCAGCUCUUCUCAAGGGUAAUUCCAUUGACUCCCCUGACUCCCUCCAAUAUUGGGGGAUAAAACGUGGAGUCAGAUCAGAUAGAUAACAGAUAUUUUAUUAAGAAAUAGUACUCACAGAUCCACCUAGCCAGGCGACAGGGAGCCAGGGAGGAAAGGAAGCAUGUGUGCCCCCCUCAAUUCUUUAAACCUUUCCCACUGACCACACAUGUUUUCUCCCUUCACUCCAAUGUCCCCUUGACCUUAGAGACCAGCUUCUUUAAAGGCUUUACCUAGUGGGGCCCUAGUCACCAUGUCCUUCUCAGUUUGCAGCUGCUGAAUUAUUCAUCCAUAGUGAAAGAUGGCCAAGGAGAGGCCGGAAUUAGGUUGCACAUGCCUGUGGCCCCAGCACUCGGGAUGCUGAAACAGCAGAAUUUCUUAUUUGAAGCUAGUCUGGGCUAGAUAGUAAGAUGCUUAAAAAAAAAAAUGGUUCAGCAGUUAGGAGCACUUGCUGCUUUUGCAGAGGGCCUGGGUUUGGUUCCCAGCACCCACAUAAUGACUUGCAACCAUCCAUGAUUCCAGUCCCUGGUGACAUCCUCUCUGACCUCAGCAGGCACCAGAUACACACAGUGCACACACAUACACGCAGACAAACAUCUAUACACAUUAGACAAAAUUUAAAAAGCAGGGAGUUGAGGGCCUAGAGGACACCAAGGGACACUCCCCACUGGUCUCCCUGCCCACGGUGUGUGGAGGCCAUCCUACUUUCUCCUGCCAACUGACCAAGUCAACGACUCUGGUAAUGUGGUCACUCUUUCCUAACCCUCUGGCCUUUCGGCACAAAGAAAUGGCCAGGUGGCAGGUAUAGGUUAAAGUUUAAUGAGAGCAUCACUGUGUAUCCUGGUGAAAAUGUCCCUGUCUGGCAACCAGAGGAGACUUCUAGACACACAGAGCUUAACCUGUGUCUAAGACGUUAAAAACAAAGCAGGUCACGGUGGUGGCACAAGCCUUUAAUCCAGUACUCAGGAGGCAGAGGCAGCCGGAUCUCUGAGUUCGAGGUCAGCCUGGUCUACAGUGUGAGUUCCAGGACAGCCAAGACUACACAGAGAAAUCCUGUCUUGAAAACUCACAAAACAAAAAAGAACAAUAUUCCCCAAAAUGGCUCAGCAGAAAAAGUCACUGGCUGCACAAGCCAGGACUGUGAACGAGGAGUUCAAAGCCUGGAACCCACAGAAAGGUGAAAAAAGAGAACAGACUCCUUACAAAGUUGUCCUAUGACCUCCACACAUGCACAGUGCAAUGUGCACCCCACACACGCAUCAUAUCCAUCUGUCACCCAAAUCUGCUGGGCUGCUUGUCCUCAGUCUGGAGCUGUUGCAGAGCCCUCUCUGCCUGGGGCUGUCUCAAAGAUGCCAGCCCUCAUGUCACUUGGUAAAAUGGCGUGGGGUGAGUAGCAUUUGUCAGGUGUGUGGUGUCUUGCUCAUGGAAGCCCCAGAGGCUUGUCUGAUGCCGAGCUUCCUUCUGAUAUGUGGGAGGUGUGAGGUGGAGUAGAUUUGGAACCACCCAGGAGACAUACCUCUGGGCGCAUCUGUGUGGGUGUUUCCAGAGUAGUUUAACUGAAACAAGGAUGACCCUUGCCAGAUGUUGGCAGCACUGUCCUGUGGGCUGGGGUUCUAAAUAAAACACAAGAGGAGAAAGUGAACUGAAUGAACAGCAGUGUUUAACUCUCUCUGCUUCCUGACUGCAGAUACAGUGUGACCAGCUGCCUCCUGCUCCUGCUGCCACCCUUCCUUGAACUGUGAGCCCAAAAUAACCAACCCCUCCCCUUUCUUCCCUCCUCCUCCCUCCCUCCCUCCUUCAUUCCUUCCCUCCCUCCUUCCUUCCUCCCAUAGCCUUGGUCAGACAUUAUUGUCACAACAAUGAGUAACUAAUACCUCACAGGUCACCAAAUGCUGAAGCUGAGAACCGCUCUCACAUUCCAUGGUGACACAGAGUGGCAAUGUCAGUAUGCACAUAAAACAGAUCUGUGCAUGUUCACUAACCUGGCAUCUUUUCCUGCCACAGUUCCCAGGUCCCUUUGUGAACCAUUUGGAUCAUCCAUAGCAGGAAUGGAAAACUGGGCGUUUGCCACAUCGGGAGGCAGAUGUGUGUCUGACUGCCCUGGCUGAGGUGCUGUGGGCACUGAAGCCGCCUUAGCUGCCAUGGUUCUGCUUCUGUAGACAUCCACUCAAUGUCUUCUAGAACAUACUUUGUAGGCACCAAACCAGCGAAUUGAUAACUUAAGGACUGCCCCCAUACAUCUUGGACAUCUUGGGACUUUACUGGCCAUGCUCACUUCUGCCCCUGCCCACCCCACCCCUCCCCUGGGAUAUGGCAUUGGUUGGUGUUAUGUGACAGACUUUUUCCUAGGGAGACUUCACACACGUUUAUCAACCCCAGAAAGGGAACCCACAACAGACCAAGUAAUGAUUUUAUCAAAAUCCAAUCGUUUACUGAGAUUUCUAACAGGAAUAUGGCUGGGAAGUCACUUAUGGAAACAGGGAUGACUCUAAACAGCCAAAUCACUGAAAAGCCCACCCCAGCAGGGGCGACAACUCACAAAAGCUGUCUGAGGAAUCCCUCUCAGAUCUGCUGGUCAGUCCCCUCCUCUUCGUCUAUGAAACUGGGAGGGGCCUUGCGAAUCUCCCCAGUUUCCGAUUUCCCAGACAAUUGGCUUGAUGUUUCGUUUUACACUGGGUCCGGCUGAGACACCAUAUCCCACCCAGACUUCGACUCGGAGCCAGGAAGUGGAAUGACUCUGUGAACUCUGUGGAGAAACACAUGCUGCACCAAGCUUGGGCAGCAUUCUGUCGGGAUUCCACCCACUGCUUCUCCAACUGGGAUGCUGUGCAGAUCUUGGACCCUGCAUCCAACAGUCUCAGAAAGGUCUGGUUAUUCUUCCUUCAAAGAGGCACUGUGACUCCAGGAAGUGGCCAUGGGUCUCUUUGGAAAUAAAUAACCAGGCUAUCAGUGCCAUACGGUCAAGUGUGGCAGCAACUUUGGGGAUGGGUAACCUCCCUUUGGAAGAGUGGGUCUGGUGUGCACUCUAGCUCAGUAAACAACUGUGGCCUUUUCCUGUCACAGUGUCUGUCUUCAGUCUCUGAUGGUCCAUUGAAUCCUUCUGAUGGUGUAAAUUACGCCAGUACCCUUGCUGCCUGCUCCUCUGUCUCGUUCUGGGAACACCAGAUAACUAUCUGCCGAGUGCUGUUCAGACUUCCACCUGCCACUCCCGUCUUACAGUAAUUUUCCCCACCUUGCUCAUAAUUUUAAGUUCCACCAAGGGGUGUCAUUAUCUCAAGCUCCCCUCUUCCCUAUUGAUACCAGGGAAGACAGUCCAAUCACAGCAACUAUUAUUGCCAGCCUUGGCUUCUAGAGGUCAGCCAUCAUGGAGCUUCUGGACCACGCCACCCACCAUUGACCCUCUCUCACCAGCACCUGAGAAAUGCACCAUCGCCAGGAGUCCUUGGAGCUGGGGCAGCAGCUGGGGUUCUGACAUUUCUUAUUCACUGAGAUGAGUCCUACCUGGAUGUCCCCAAGUGUCAUCUUAGCAGCAGUGAGCAUCCUUCCUGAAGACCUUGCAAGGCUGUGAAAUCCUGUAUCCCUGGUGGACCUCUCCUGUUCCCACUUGGCACCACACUGCCUCCGGCCCAGGGGCCUUUGUCAUCAAUCCCUGCAAGUCAGCAGUGAUCCUGCAGCCUGCUUGGCACAACAUCUGCUUUGUGACCCUUUCCUGGGGAGAUGUAAACAAGUCUCUGCUCCCCAUCGGCCGCACACCAAUGACAGAUCGAAAUAACAAUUGCUCCAAAGUUCAGCGUCAGCUUGGAGAACCAAUGAGGAGUUUAUUGGGCUUACUUAUAGAGCAUGGAUAAUGGCUACACACCAGAGCUCAGGUGACCUCAAAGCUGUCACAUCACUGAAAAAUCUCACCCAGCAUGGAUGAACCUUCCACAGUCUAUGUACUAGCCCCGCCCCGUGGCCUCCCGCCCCCGCCCCACGAUCUUGAGACUAUGUGCAGUUGAGGGAAAUUACUUACUGCUGCAGGGAGUGGCUGAAACCUCGGGUGGGGCUCUAGUGAGUCUCCUCAUCUUUCCUAGGAGAGAAUGUCAACAGUCCUGCCUCAAGGGUGUCUUGAGUGUUGUCAUGGCUGCUCUGAUGAAAAUGGUAACCGUUCUCGUGCCUGUGGGACAGUGCUCUCCAGCACCAUUCUUUACUUCCCUAAGUUGCAGCACAAUCACAUCUUGAUCCCAGUCAAGGCGGAUGUCUGUCUCAGGGUAGAUGCUUUCUGUUUUGCAAGCCUGAGGCCUGUCUCUACCAGCAGGUGGGACCACAACCUUUAACCAGGAGUGGGCCAAGUGUGCAGAGCCAGAGGGCUAGUGAGGACGUAGAGACUUGAGAUUGUCAAAUGCACCCACAAAAAGUCCCCACCCAUGUGCCAAUCAUCCGGAUCCCAUGCUCUCCCGCAGCCCUGACCCACGAGCAGCUUCUGGACUUGGGAUCCAGCAGCUUCUCAUUAAGCUACAGUCUGGUCCUCGGCAUCUUCCGUCCUCCACCUGAGGAACUGCGAGGCUCUUAACACACAUAGUCCAGGAGGCCCUGUGGGUUUUACACUUCACCGGGAUGGGUGACUGUUCCACCCUAGCCUGUCAUGAUCCUCCUCCCCCUAACCAUUACUCUACAACUUUGCUUUUGUAUUUGUAUUUAUAAUGAUUCUUCCACAUCUGUCAAAUGCUUGCCCACGCCAGCCAGUGCAUCUGCUCCUAUAACCUCUCAAUCCCAGGUCACCCCAAUUGUGCUUUUAACCUAUGCACUGACAGCAUGUGGUAGGCUUUCCAUAUUGUCCCUACCUCCAGGAACAGGUUUCUGGUUGCCAGAAAACCAACAGGUCAUGUGCCACAAAAAUCUCAUCUCAUCCAGGUGGUGGUGGUUCAUGCUUUUAAUUCCAGCAUUCAGGAGACAGAGGCAGGUGGAUCUCUGAGUCCAAGGCCAGCAUGGUCUACAAAAUGAAUUCCAGGACAGCCAGGGCUACACAGAGAAACCCUGUCUCAAAACAACAACAACAACAAAAAGUCUCAUCUCAAAUUGUCUCUCCCUGAUCUCUUCCCAUUCUUUCUUCCAUCAGAGCUCAGAAGCUGGCUCUGUGGAAGGAGAGCUGAAUUAGACAGAGGGGACUUGGCUUUGCCUCGGUGGUUAUAGAAGCCCCAGCUGGAAACACAUGGAAUCUCUGAAGUUCAACUGAACCCUUGGAGCUGUCUCAAAUGGAAGACUCUUGAUUCUCAAAAGAACUAUGAGAUUUAAGUUGUGGGGAAUGGAUGGGGGCAUUGGGAAGAACACACCUAUGGUCAAGAUUCCCCAAGGUUGAUUAACUGGUUAGAACUGUGGUUGUGAGAAAGUAAAACACCGCUAGUCAGACUCCAA